UCCUGCCAGUAGUCAUAUGCUUGUCUCAAAGAUUAAGCCAUGCAUGUCUAAGUAUAAACUGCUUUAUACUGUGAAACUGCGAAUGGCUCAUUAAAUCAGUUAUAGUUUAUUUGAUGGUACCUACUACUCGGAUACCCGUAGUAAAUCUAGAGCUAAUACGUGCGUAAAUCCCGACUCCUGGAAGGGACGUAUUUAUUAGAUAAAAGGCCGACCGGGCUCUGCCCGACUCGCGGUGAAUCAUGAUAACUUCACGAAUCGCAUGGCCUUGUGCCGGCGAUGUUUCAUUCAAAUUUCUGCCCUAUCAACUUUCGAUGGUAGGAUAGAGGCC
rnacentral:rRNA from 1 species